GACGUUUGUUGGCGGCGUGCUUAACACAUGCAAGUCGAACGGAAAGGCCCUGCUUUUGUGGGGUGCUCGAGUGGCGAAAGGGUGGGUAACACGUGAGUAACCUGGCCUUGACUUUGGGAUAACUUCAGGAAACUGUGGGUAAUACCGGAUAGGAGCUCCUGCUGCAUGGUGGGGGUUGGAAAGUUUCGGCGGUUGGGGAUGGACUCGCGGCUUAUCAGCUUGUUGGUGGGGUAGUGGCUUACCAAGGCUUUGACGGGUAGCCGGCCUGAGAGGGUGACCGGCCACAUUGGGACUGAGAUACGGCCCAGACUCCUACGGGAGGCAGCAGUGGGGAAUAUUGCACAAUGGGCGGAAGCCUGAUGCAGCAACGCCGCGUGCGGGAUGACGGCCUUCGGGUUGUAAACCGCUUUCGCCUGUGACGAAGCGUGAGUGACGGUAAUGGGUAAAGAAGCACCGGCUAACUACGUG
rnacentral:rRNA from 1 species